UUCCAGCAAUUCCACUUCAGGGCAUAUGUCCCCAAGAACUAAAAUCAGGGUCUCAAAGAGACAUUUGUACUCCAUGUUCACAGUAACAUGACUCACAAAAGUUAGAACCAGCCCACAUGUCCAUUGACAGAAAAUGAGUACUCAAAAUGUGGUAUAUCCAUACUAGGGAAUGUUGCUCAGCCUUAGGAAGGAAGGGAAUACUGACACACGCUGCAACACCGACAACCCUUGAGGCCAUUAUGCUAAGUGAAAUAAGCUAGUAGCAGAAAGGCAGAUACUAUACCUGCCUUCCAAAUAUUCCACACCACUUAUAUAAAAUCCGUAGAAACAAACUGAUGGGCCGGGGGCACGGGGAAUGAGGAGCUGUUUAAUGCAUUUCAGUUUUACAGGAUGAAAAUAUUCUGGAGAUUGCAUAACAGUUUGAAUGUACUUAACACUAUUGAACUACCCACUUAAACAGUGAACAUGAUAAAUUUUAUGCUAAGCAUAAUUUACUACACUUUACAAAAAUCAACAGACCCUGGAAGAAAGGGUAAAACAAAUCCCAAACCUAAAGGAAAGGUAAAGCCUAAAGGAAGUAAAUGGUCAGACAUUUCAGAAAAAGUUGCAAAAUGAUUUAUAGUAAAUGCCUGAAUUGCUAUGUAGAUAGCGCAAGUAAAAUUAGACUAUACUUAGACUGUAAUCAAAAAAACACUGUAUUUUGUUUUAAAAAACUGUUUAUCUAGUUAGAGAUAAAUACUGAGCUAUUUAUAAGCAAAGCAAUGAUUUGUGGAAUUUCCUUUGAAACGCUCCAGGAAAUGAAGUGGUGGGGUACAGAUGCCACAAGAAUGGCAGGGCACUGGUGAGGGAGGCAAUGGCCAUCAGUGAAUUCAGAGCGGACAGCUUCAUGUUGCCGGAUCCCAAAAGCAGGGAGGGAGACAAUAAGGAUAAGGGUUGGGUUACUCCUUAAAUAACUGGAGGAUGGCCGUGCACUGACUGAGACGUGGAAUGCCGGGGAAUAGACAUGGGCAAGUUGAAUAGAGGGGCUGUGGGAAAAACCAGUGGAGAGGUCCAGCAGGCAGGUAAGUGUGGAAUUUAGGAGAGGCCUGGAUUGGAGAUUUAACAGUAUGAGGAUCGGGUGUUGGCUGAAGCUACAGGUAGAGAUGAGAGAGCUCAAAAAUAAAGUAGGCGGCAAGAACAGAGACAAAGGACUGAUGCUUGAAAUUUAAGUAGAGGUGAUGUCCUACGUGGGCCCCUCCUCACACCUCUCAUCACGGUUCAUCAUGUGUUUCACUAAUAGCAGAGAAACAGGAGUGAAACAAGCAGAUAUGGAUAUGUCUGUUGGACAGCUCAACAAAUGAGAGAGACAGAGACAAAGAGAGACAGACGCAGAGAGACACAGACACAGAGAGACAGAGACAGACAGAGGUUGCCGACAGGAGUGAUUACUGACUCCUUUGGCGAAGGUGAGAAGAGAGCUGGAAUUGGAAUCACAUCACAAAAGAAACUGAUGGACACGAAUCCAGAGCGCUACUGGAGAACUGGCCCUAAACAAAGGGAUAUUUAUUUAGCUGAAGCAAGAAGGAAGAAUGAUUGGUUUAUGUUUAUUCACAGCAAAAAGAAGGCAAGAAGUUAAGGACGUUUCUGACCGAUGGUCUCUGGUUUGUGUGCGUGCGUGUGUGCAUCUGCAUGAAGUAAAAGUGAAGUUUAUCUCCUGAGAGCUGAGAGGGCUUUAUUCUCUAGGGUGGGAGCAGAGGAAACUAGUCCCAUUCAUCCAGAAUUAGAGUCGUUCAGUCUGGGCUCAGUAAAAGAACAGGAAGGCCAAAAAACAAAAAAAAAAACAAAACAAAAAAAACAUUGAUAAGAACAUGAUUGGAGUGAAGGAAAUUCAACCACAAGGAAUGCAGAAAAUGUGCUAGCGAUUUGUAUGAGGUUGUGAGAGCUGGAAUGUAAAUUAUACUCUUUGAAUUUGGAGUUGCAUCAGUGUAUUUUCUUAUCUGCCUUGCUCUGUUUAUUUGCACAGGUUCAGAUUCCAAUUUCUGAUGAGAUAUGAGGUUGUAUUUCACUUCUGAGAUAUGAUGCUACUACAGGUUAGGCCACCCCCAGUCCCCCCUUGAGACAGAACAUGAAAAAAGGAAACUGUCUGCAUAAGAUAAGAGCAGGGUUUAUGGGUUUCCAUAUGUUAGAAGCUUAAAGGCAUGUCUGUUAAAUACAGCGCAGAUGGAUCAGAUAAAACUGUGGGUGAUUAAGAAAGUCUUUCCCGUGAAAGAGCAGCCUGCUUCGUAAGAAAACGAAGGGACCCCAGAAACAAUCUGCAAACACACCCUAACUCAUAAGGGCGAGGGCUUGGGGCAAGAACAGAUCGUUGUUUGUUAUGGGUGUUUACCUGUGGACUUCCCUUUUAAAAUUUCAAUGUCUCUCAAGGAAGUGAGAACAACAGAAGAAUCUUUCUCUUAAACCCAUCACUUGGCUUCAAUAAUUUGUUCUCUUUGUGCUGCUAGGCUUGAUCAAUAUUUAGAAUCUGUUGAUGGCACUAGAAGAAACGUUUAUAUGUAGCUAAUAAAAGCAAAAAAACUGAGUUGCUAAGGCAUGUCGCCAAAAAGAGAAAUGAUUCCUGGAAUAUCGGGACUUCCUUCCAGGUGCCGGGGAAGGGUAUGUCACCACAAUCCAGCAGGACAUUCAUUUGUCUACAAAGUAAACUGGCCAAGAAAAGAUGAAAUCUCAACUCAGGAAAGAUAGCAAAAUUCCACACAUCCGACUUGUCUCCUGUUCGUUUCCUCCUCUCCUGUAAUAUACUUCAAUUACAUCAGUACCUUAGUCAUUCUACCGAAGUUUCUCUGGAUCAAGAUCCUCAAGACCCUUGAUGUUCUGGUACCAGAAACUGAAUUCAGGACCUUUUACUUGCCA